CUCUCGAGGAGUUGCCCUAGCCGCCGCUCAUCACCUCAACAGUUCAAGAUUUUUGAUCGCCCUCUCCGAUUAGCGGCGCUCUUCGCCGUGAUUGUGAGAGGGCCCUUGCUGCUCUUCCUUUCUUUGCUGUAGUUGUUUAUGUUUCAGUUAGUUCAGUGUUGCGAUGAGAAGAGAGUUUGCUCAGCAAAGUAGAUGUUCUUCAUGGUGAGGCUUGUUCGACGAUCUCUGUGUCGUUCUCCCUCCUCCGGUGGUUUUGCAACUGGAAGUUCUGCUGUUGUUAGAUCCAGCUUUGGUUGGGUCUCGUAGGUGGAUUUUUCUGGAUUUGUAGCCUUGGAUUCUUGUGGUGCUGCUCUGAUUUUGUUGCCUUCGAUUGGGAAUUUUGGUUUGUUUCGAGUUCUGAUUAUGUGUGUUGGAGGUAACGGUUGGAGCGGCCAUUUCAUUUGGGUCCUGUGAAUUCAGAAGUAGGACUUUGGCCCUUGCAUUUGUUGUCGCUCAUGUUCUUUCCAUAGUUUCUAUGCCGUUAGUGUUGUGUGGCUGUUGGAUUUGUUAGUUUCUCUCAGCCUUCGCCUCUCCUCUCACCUUGUCUCCUCGUCUCAGCCUUUGUGUUCGAUCUUUCUCUAAGCAGAAGAUUCGUUUUGUUUGACUGUAACGGUAGUCUCCCAAGUAUGUCGAGUUAUCUUCUUCUUGCUGUUGUUCGAUGUGGGAGAUAGCUCUCGUAUUUUUCGUCGUUCUCUUUGAGAUUGACGAUUCUUGAGAUGUUAGGCCUCGCUCCUUGUCCCUGCGUUCGAGAUUUGUUGAGAUCUGUUCGCGUUUGGUGGCUUCUAGUUCGACGUUCCUUGACGUACCAACGUCGUCGUCGCUUCCGAAAGCUAUGUGCUUGUCGGGUUUUGAAGUCUUUGGUUUCGAGAGAUUGGCUCUCUUUGUGAUGGGAGGUGGUUGUUGUUAUCUUCGGUUUGGCCGCGGGCAUCCUUGGUUAAUCUCUCUCACUUGUCUCAGAAGAAGAAGUGCUUUGUGCUCUUGGUUCUAUUGUUUAUCUUAAGGUUUUUGUGGCCGGUUUCUUAUGUUCUUAGCUUAAGGUUUUGAUUCCUUUCGUUUAGGUUGCAAAUUUUCUGUUUUGUAUCUUUUUAUCUUUAGACUCCCUUUCAUAGGGCUUAAUGACUCUGGGGACAUAUUUAUCGUCCGCCGGCUUAUGUUUC